GGGUUCCAGGUGUGCUCUGAGCUCCAGGUGUGCUGUGGGUUCCAGGUGUGCUCUGGGCUCCAGGUGUGCUGUGGGUUCCAGGUGUGCUGUGGGUUCCAGGUGUGCUGUUGUGGUUUCCAGGUGUGCUGUUGUGGGUUCCAGGUGUGCUGUGGGUUCCAGGUGUGCUGUGGUUUCCAGGUGUGCUCUGGGUUCCAGGUGUGCUGUUGUGGGUUCCAGGUGUGCUGUUGUGGUUUCCAGGUGUGCUCUGGGUUCCAGAUGUGCUGUUGUGGUUUCCAGAUGUGCUGUUGUGGUUUCCAGGUGUGCUCUGGGCUCCAGGUUUCACCUUCAGCAGGUGGGAUUUUGGGCUGCAGGGGCAGAGCAGCUCCCUGGCAGCUUGGAAGGGUGAAGGAUUGUCACGGUACUGUCACAGUACAGCCAGACAAGGUAAAUGUGGCCAUAACACAAAGGCAGCUCGGCUGUUCAUGGCAGAACAGGUCCUGGGUAAGUCCAGGGGACCCCCAGCCCCCCAGGUGGGAUCAGAGUGCUGCCUGGGCAGGAGGCUGGCACACAGCAGGGCAGCACAGCCUGGGGGAUGUGCAGGCUGCUUUAGGGACAGCCGGGUUCUGAGGAACCCCACCCACCCUGCGACACCAGAGAUGAUGAGGAAGAGCCCAGCUCCUCUCCCACACCCAGCCCAGAGGUCCCAGAGCUGUGUGACACAUCCUCCAGGGAGCUGUGCACAUCUCCUCGCUUUCACCAAACAAACCAAAUCAGCCUGAAGCUGGUUUUUAACACUAAACUCUUCAUUAGAUAGCUCACACAAAGCCUGCCAGGUGCACUGGGACAUGUCCAGGUACAAAACCCUUUCAUUUGCAAGUCCACAGUGUUGACCAGUUUGGGAGGGAUGUCUGAGCUGAUGGCUCGUGUUUCCACGAGGAAUGCAACAGUUUGUGACCCAUUUAUAACAAAAGAGCUGAAGAUGCUGAGAUUCCCCAUAUAUUGCUGCAGUUUCUCGCUUGUUUUACAGUAAUUUGAUAUUGCCUGAACAUAGUAGUCAACCUUUUUUUAACUCCUGCUUGCAGGGUAGAACAGCAGGGAUGACAAGCCUUAUGCUUUAGUUCAGAAAUAGCUCACAUCAGUGAGAGCAACCGGGGUUGCACCACGGGAGAGGGGUAGUGGCAGCACAGAGCUCUACUGACUACUGAGGUUUCAUACAAGAAAACCAUAUUGCCUGCCAGAGAAAUUGCAUGUUGGCCUAAAAGGCUGCCUAGGCUUAAUUUGCUCUUGAACCCUGGCUCAUGUCUGGUUUUUCAUUCUUUAUCUCCACAAAGUGUGUUCAUUUUAGAGCUCUGGAUUAGUUGGAGUCCUCAGAACGCGGAAUGGAGACUUUAAUGAGCACCGUGAUGGUCCUGCCCCACCUGGAGCAGGCAGUGGCAGAGUCUGCAGCAGCUGAACACACCUCUAGGUUGCUGUUCUUUCCUAAAGGCAAAACUUGCAUCCCACAAUAUCCUGAAAAACCUGAGAAAUAGUUAAUUAAGGUGGAAAAGCAGGCACAGUAAGUGCAUGGAGGGAAAAUCCCACUCUGGCCAAUUGAAAUUUCAUUUGUGCCUUAAACAGGGGAACAAAACCAAUUAAGAGUAGCAAUGACCUUGCAUCCUUGUGCAGCUUUGCUGUGCCUGAGCUGUGGAGGACCAGAUUUGUUCUUAGGGCAACACAGUUGGGGGAAAGGUAAACCACAGCAUGAGGAGCAGGGAAAAAAUUAACAGAGAAAGUAGGCAAGGAUGAAAGCAGCACUCAGAGUCACCUGGGUGCUGGAGAGCAUCUGCUCGUGUGGAUAGAGAGGGAGACAGAACACGAGCAGUGGCUCUGAAGCAGCCACGCUGGAUGUUUAUUGCACAGGAUGUUUAUGCUGGAUGUUUAUUGCACAGACAGGACUGGGACAAAUGAGAACAUCCCCAUGUUUCCAGCAGGCUGUGCACAACGUGUGUGACUCUCACAGUGACCACAGACCUCAGGAACCUCAGAUUUUCUUUUCAACACCAGCACGUCAGAGCUUGUGGACAGACCUUUAAAAUGACACCAAAGGGUAGUGCUGAAGUGCAGAGACAGCUGAGACUCUUCCAGUUGGAAGAAUUCUCCAGCCCUCCCUUCCUGACAGAGGCAAUGGGAGAUGGCAGAUGAGAACUGCUCCUGUUUGGUGCAGCUUGCAGGAAAAAUGAAUUGAGGCAAGGAGAAGCGAUAGGAAGAGCAUCAGCCCUGUGCUGGGUGUGAAGGAAGAAAAAUUAAUCCAAUUUACUCCUUGUAUGCUCCACACUCCUGAAUAACCAGGGUAGCCAGAGCAGAAAGAUGAGGUGCUCAGGAUGCAGCACAACUGCAGCAUCCCCAUGGGAGGCAGCUGGAAACUGGAGGUCAGUGCCUCUCACAGGGAUUAGUGUGAAUUAGCAGGAGCUUCCCCUCGAGCUGUGCAGUUUGGGGAUGCUUUCCUCAGUGGAGAUGGUUGGGCGAGAGGCAAAGUGCUCUGCAUAGCAAGGCAGAUGUGCAUCCAAACAGAUGUGGUCAUUCUGCCACUGGGGCAAAGCCAGAGCAGCUUUAGGAUGAGAAUGGAGAUAAAUUGGAAUUAAAAAAAAGGUAUGGGAGGAGAACUGGAACCCUAAUGUUGCCUUUUCUUUCAAACUGAUCUGUACACAUGUCACACAGUUGGAUGUAUGAAUAGUAAAUUAUUCUAUUCAUUUCUUACUCUUGAUGAACAGUAAAUUAGUCUAAUAACAUUUACUGUUCAAUUCAUUGAUUGUCAGAGGGAGA